rnacentral:siRNA from 1 species
AUUGGUUUUAGGUUAGAAACCCA